AUCCAGCUGACGAGUUCCAAAUAGGAAGGAACGCACAUCCUGGAU
rfam:Schistosoma rodhaini strain Burundi genome assembly, scaffold: SROB_scaffold0007755